rnacentral:ncRNA from 1 species
CGAUUGGAUAGUGCAGGAAACUGCAUGAAACUCGCCUGUAAUCCCGGCAUCGUUGAUCCGUUUACGGUUAGCGUGGCGACUUCACUUCUGCCUUCGGGCAGCUUCAAC